GAGUCAGUCUGUUCCAAAGUUUGAAGAGGUAUUUCUCAAUGAUAUCUGAAUUAACUUCUUCUGCCUUAAAGAAACCAUGCUCAACAAUGCUUACUUUCACUCCAAAAUGCCGCAUUUCUAUCCUAGAAGAAAAGAAAUCAAAUAAUCUCCCUGACCAUCCAAUAAUGGCACAACUAUGAAUCAUAAGCAAGACUUUCAGAGAGGAAUCAAAAUGGGCAAACAUACCCUUCCUCAGCACGUCUGGAGUCUGUUCUUGGAUCCAUGCAUGUGUUUCUGGCUACUUACCUUAAGGUGUCAGAGAAAGCUUCCAUGCCCCAUUUGGACAGACUGUAGCCACCCCCUACAAAAGCCAUGAGACCUUUUGCAUUCAUUAGAUUGACAACUCUUCCCUCAGCUUUUUUCAGAAGAGGCAGAAGCUUGAGUGUGAUUUCAAUCAAUCCCAGCAGGCUAACAUCCAGGACUGAAUGGAAGUCUUCAAUCCUCAGCCAGUCGGUGGGUCCUACAGGUGCUGUUCCUUCAGCAUUGCUCACCAAGCCAAAAAGCCCUAGGAGGAAUGCAAAACCAUUUAUCUCAGUAUAUGGCAAUAUCUUACCCUGGAGUAUCAUGGAUGCAUUGGGAACCAAGCACACAGUCUGCAAAAACUUCAGUGAGAUGAAUACGGUUAUCUGGGAUUUGCUUGGAUGGUGUGCUUUGUACAUCUGUUAGAAUUUGCUGAAGAACAUGGGUAAAAUGUUAAAGGAACACUAUUUUGUUUGGAGAUGUGGGCCACCAUGCUGGGCUUUAUCCAGAUCUGCUCAGAGUUUGCUGAGGACAGCCUGUGCCUGAGGGGAGAGGCCGAAAGUCCAGCACUCAGCCUCCAUAAAGAGUCUUACACGCUGAGGGGAAAGCAUUAGCAGUGGCUAUCCUGCCUG